CCUACGGGUGGCUGCAGUGGGGAAUAUUGCACAAUGGGCGCAAGCCUGAUGCGGCCAUGCCGCGUGUGUGAAGAAGGCCUUCGGGUUGUAAAGCACUUUCAGCGGGGAGGAAGGCGUUAAGGUUAAUAACCUUGGCGAUUGACGUUACCCGCAGAAGAAGCACCGGCUAACUCCGUGCCAGCAGCCGCGGUAAUACGGAGGGUGCAAGCGUUAAUCGGAAUUACUGGGCGUAAAGCGCACGCAGGCGGUCUGUCAAGUCGGAUGUGAAAUCCCCGGGCUCAACCUGGGAACUGCAUUCGAAACUGGCAGGCUAGAGUCUUGUAGAGGGGGGUAGAAUUCCAGGUGUAGCGGUGAAAUGCGUAGAGAUCUGGAGGAAUACCGGUGGCGAAGGCGGCCCCCUGGACAAAGACUGACGCUCAGGUGCGAAAGCGUGGGGAGCAAACAGGAUUAGAUACCCGAGUAGUC
rnacentral:rRNA from 1 species